UGGUGGAGUGAUUUGUCUGCUUAAUUGCGAUAACGAACGAGACAUUUACCUGCUAAAUAGUCCGUAUUGCUUUGGCAGUACGCUGGCUUCUUAGAGGGACUAUCCGCUUAAGCGGGUGGAAGUUGGAUGCAAUAACA
rnacentral:rRNA from 1 species